rnacentral:rRNA from 1 species
CAGUAGCCACGGGAAUACGUAGGUGGCAAGCGUUGUCCGGAAUUAUUGGGCGUAAAGGGCUCGCAGGCGGUUUCUUAAGUCUGAUGUGAAAGCCCCCGGCUCAACCGGGGAGGGUCAUUGGAAACUGGGAAACUUGAGUGCAGAAGAGGAGAGUGGAAUUCCACGUGUAGCGGUGAAAUGCGUAGAGAUGUGGAGGAACACCAGUGGCGAAGGCGACUCUCUGGUCUGUAACUGACGCUGAGGAGCGAGAGCGUGGGGAGCGAACAGGAUUAGAGACCCGCGUAGUCCCUGUCUCUUAUAC